GACCUCAAAUCAGGUAGGAACACCCGCUGAACUUAAGCAUAUCAAUAAGCGGAGGAAAAGAAAAUAACAAUGAUUCCCCUAGUAACUGCGAGUGAAGAGGGACAAGCUCAAAUUUUAAAUCUAUCGGGUUUUACCCGAUCGAGUUGUAAUUUGAAGAAGCGUUUUUCUGCGUUUUUGAUCAGCCCAAGUCCUAUUGAAUGAGGCAUCAUGGAGGGUGAUAAUCCCGUCCGGUUGAUCAUUUGCGUUUUACGAUACGCUCUCUAAGAGUCAAGUUGUUUGGGAUUGCAGCUUAAAAUGGGAGGUAAAUUUCUCCUAAGGCUAAAUAACGGCGAGAGACCGAUAGCGAACAAGUACCGUGAGGGAAAGAUGAAAAGAACUUUGAAAAGAGAGUUAAACAGUACGUGAAAUUGUUGAAAGGGAAACGAUUGAAGCCAGUCGUACCUUCGGGUAAUCAGCCUUUCGGGUGCGAUUCUGUGGAGUGUGAGGAGCUUAACACCUUCAUGCUUUGCAUAUUUGUGCUCUUGGGUGUACUUGCCCGUGUGGUUGGUUAACAUCAAUUUUGAUUAUCAUAAAAUGACUGGAGGAAUGUAGCUUCGAUCUCGUAUUGAAGUGUUAUAGCCUUCGGUAGAUGUGAUGAUCGAGAUUGAGGAUUGCAACGGAUACCCUUCGGGGCUACCUGUCUGGUCUCUGAUCGUUGCUCUGGUGCCGAAAGCGUGCUUACGGUUAUCAAAGUCGAUGGUCAAUAGGUUAGAACGGGUUAAAUUCGUUAAGGAUGUUGACGUAAUGGCUUUAAACGACCCGUCUUGAAACACGGACCAAGGAGUCUAACAUAUAUGCGAGUGUUA
rnacentral:rRNA from 1 species